rnacentral:rRNA from 1 species
AGAGUUUGAUCCCUGGCUCAGGAUGAACGCUGGCGGCGUGCCUAACACAUGCAAGUCGAGGGGCUCGUUGUAGCAAUACGACGAGCCACUGGCGCACGGGUGAGUAACACGUAGGUAAUCUACCCCCAACUCAGGCAUAACACUUCUAACGAGGUGCUAAUACCUGAUGAGGAGGCAGCUCCAAAGACCUUCGGGUCGGUUGGGGAUGAGCCUGCGUCCGAUUAGGUAGUUGGUAGGGUAAUGGCCUACCAAGCCGACGAUCGGUAGCUGGCCUGAGAGGGUGGUCAGCCACACUGGGACUGAGACACGGCCCAGACUCCUACGGGAGGCAGCAGUGAGGAAUAUUGGGCAAUGGGCGCAAGCUUGACCCAGCGACGCCGCGUGUGGGAUGACAGGGCUAUGCCUUGUAAACCACUGUCGGGUGGGACGAAAAGCGAGCUUCGGCUCGCCGGGACGGUACCACCAAAGGAAGGGUCGGCUAACUACGUGCCAGCAGCCGCGGUAAUACGUAGGACCCAAGCGUUAUCCGGAUUCACUGGGUGUAAAGGGUGUGUAGGCGGGCGUGCGCGUCCGGGGUGAAAGGUUCCGGCUCAACCGGAAACACGCCUUGGAUACGGCACGUCUUGAGUGCGGGAGAGGACGGUGGAAUUCCUGGUGUAGCGGUGAAAUGCGUAGAUAUCAGGAGGAACACCAGUGGCGAAGGCGGACGUCUGGCCCGCAACUGACGCUGAAACACGAAAGCGUGGGGAUCAAACAGGAUUAGAUACCCUGGUAGUCCACGCCCUAAACGAUGCAUGCUUGGUGUCGGCGCCUUGUGCGUCGGUGCCGUAGGUAACCCGGUAAGCAUGCCACCUGGGAAGUACGGCCGCAAGGCUGAAACUCAAAGGAAUUGGCGGGGGCCCGCACAAGCGGUGGAUCAUGUGGUUUAAUUCGAUGCAACGCGAAGAACCUUACCUGGGCUUGAACUGGAGGUAGU